rnacentral:rRNA from 1 species
AGCGAACGCUGGCGGCAGGCCUAACACAUGCAAGUCGAACGGACCCUUCGGGGUUAGUGGCGGACGGGUGAGUAACACGUGGGAACGCGCCUUUAGGUUCGGAAUAGCUCCUGGAAACGGGUGGUAAUGCCGAAUGUGCCCUUCGGGGGAAAGAUUUAUCGCCCUUAGAGCGGCCCGCGUCUGAUUAGCUAGUUGGGGAGGUAACGGCUCACCAAGGCGACGAUCAGUAGCUGGUCUGAGAGGAUGACCAGCCACACUGGGACUGAGACGCGGCCCAGACUCCUACGCGAGGGAGCAGUGGGGAAUCUAGCGCAAUGGGCGAAAGCAUGACGCAGCCAUGCCGGGUGAAUGAUGAAGGUCUUAGGAUUGUAAAAUUCUUUCACCGGGGACGAUAAUGACGGUACCCGGAGAAGAAGCCCCGGCUAACUUCGUG